rnacentral:tRNA from 1 species
GGUGGAUUACCCGAGUGGCCAAAGGGGGCAGACUGUAAAUCUGCUGGCUCAGCCUUCACUGGUUCGAAUCCAGUAUCCACCA